rnacentral:lncRNA from 1 species
UCUAAUCUUAUUCUUCUCUAAACAGAUAGCCACAAAAGUUACUUUGAAAUAAUCAUAUUCUCUUUGAAUUUCUUUUUUUUUUUAUAGCUAUGUAAACUCACCAUGGCAACAUCAUCUUCCCCGUUGAGCAUUACUUCAUUUUUCCUUCAUUAUUAAAGCCAUUUGCAUCUCUAGAAGUUAAAAGUCUCAAUGCAGAUUUGCUCUCCAAAAGCCACCAUCGGUUUCCUUUAUUCCACUAACACAGCUGAAUUUUUAUCAUCCUGUUACCACAAGACCCAGCAGAAAACAGAAAAGAAAAAAGAAAAUUUAAGAUCAGGGUCUGAAGCUUCGUCCGAGGUCUCCGUGCGAUUCAUGUGUGCCGAUUUCACUUCACAUUGAAGGUCCUUGUGAUUUUUCUCUUUGUAAGUUGUCGAAGCUCUAAUUGUAGUUGUCUUGCUGCGAUUGUUGUUUGUUAUGGAUGGAAAUUGUUGCUGAGCUUCGUGUCACUUUCCUUCGUUUCUUUUAAAAUACAAGGUAGGUGCACUUCUAAUUUUCUGAUUGUUGCUAGUUUCGAAUAAUUAAAAUACUGAUUUGAUUUGUCUCAAGUUUUUCCAUGUCAUUUUGUUAAAUCUGUUAUUUUACUUUGGACAAGCAAAUGAAAACUUUUAUUAUCAUUUGAAACUAUAGGAAUUUGAUAAUUGAGAAAAGAGGACUUUAACGAUUUUGAUCUCAUUUCGCGACGAUUCUAUUUUGAUGUUAGUAGGAAUGUUCUUUUUGUUGGACUGUUAUUGGCUCUUCAAUGUUGUUGUCUUUCAUUAUUCACCUAAUUUCAUGGAAAAAUGUUGCUUUACUAUGUUUUAUCUGUUUACCAAGUUUAGUUUUCACUACAUGAAGUAAUUGAGGUUUACAAGUAAAAAUAGAUCUAAUGGCUAAGAAUAUGUUCUUAUGUUCUGCACGUUCUUAUAGGCAUAUAUGCAAAGUUUUGUUUUUUUUAUGCAUUCUGUCCCUUGGUCAAAUUUGAUUAGCAAGAUUUGCUUGCUUUGGAUGGACCUCUUAAAAAAUAUGCUCAAAAGCAAUUCAAUCUCGAUAAGUGCCCGAAGCAGUACAAUAAGGCUAAACCUUCUCCUUAAAUGUGACCUCGCCUUCCCCCACCUUAAUUUAUUUAAUUUCAUUCGCAAUAAUCUUAAAGUAGUUUAGGAAAUAAACCUUUGAACAUCCGUAGUUUGUUUUAGUUGAGUACAAUCAUUUGAAAUUAGAAUCGAUGUGUGUCAUUAGUUAAAUUUUCUAUGACAUCGCAAACUUGAAAAUGCGUAGUUGCUUUAGGCGUGUUAUUUUAAUAAUCUAUCUUCCUAAAUUCGGGUGUGCAUUUAUGUGACCCAAAUUCAAAUCUCAACAAUGUUAGAUAAAAUAUGACGAGGAUCGCGGGUGUAUUUAUGUGACGUAGUUUAAGACGUAUUUUAGAUGACGUUGAAUUUUCCUAAAAUUAAUUAAAUAAAGCAGUUAAGUUAAAAUUGAACCAUAUGCUAAAACAUGUUUUAAAAUCAGAUAUAAACAGGCCAAUAAUAACAAUUGAGCGACCGUACUAGAACCACGGAACUCGCAAAUGCCCAACACCUUCUCCAGGGUUAGUAGAAUUUCCUACCCAGAUUUCUGUGUUCGCGGACUGUAAACAGAGUCAAUCUUUUCCUCGAUUCAGGAUUUGAACUAGUGACUUGGGACACCAUAAAAUUAUUCCAAGUAGCGACUCUGAAUCUUUGAAUAAAUAAAUCCCGUUUUGAUUGACACUUUAAGUUGGAAAAAACUUCAUUUAUACCUUCUCUUCCAAUGGUGUAUGUAAAAAUGAGGUGUGACAGCUUUGGCUACUCUGUUGGGGAAAAGAACCUAGAAUCUCUGGUUCAGGGUUCAAGAAUUGAGCUUAUAAUAAUUUUUAUAUUUGGCUUUAUUUAUUAUGUGGUUUUAAAUACAUUUUUGAGCCUAAUGUGCUAAAUGUUUCUUUUUACCAUUUUGAUAUUAUCGGAACUGUAUAUAAACUACUAUGAAACCCUUCUCUUCUCAUCUUCGGGGAUGUGCACGCUGGCGUGACUCCCUAUUCUGUUUGUUUCAUACCUUGAAAUAAGAAAGAUGCUCGGACAAGUUACAAAACGAGAUGGCCUUUUGGUUCCCCGUACGUAGCCCCUUUCUCGACUCGAGUUGUCUGCUCUGGUGUACAAGUCUAGAACAGUAUACCCAGGUUUUAUACUUAGAAUAUGUCUGCCUCUUGUCGGAUCCCUAGUGGGAACAUUUGUAUGCAUCAUGUGCAUUUGACUUUGGGGACUCAACAAAGGGGUUGGGUCUUUCUAGGACAUGUGUACAAAAUUAAAAGACCAUUCUGAUGCAUCUUACGUGCUACUUGUGUAUCUAUCUGUUCAUACUUGCAUGUUGACUGGCUUAUAGAAUAAAAAAAAAUACAACCCAGUAUAAUCUCACUUAGUGGGGUCUGGGGAGGGUAGUAUGUACGCAGACCUUACCNNNNNNNNNNNNNNNNNNNNNNNNNNNNNNNNNNNNNNNNNNNNNNNNNNNNNNNNNNNNNNNNNNNNNNNNNNNNNNNNNNNNNNNNNNNNNNNNNNNNNNNNNNNNNNNNNNNNNNNNNNNNNNNNNNNNNNNNNNNNNNNNNNNNNNNNNNNNNNNNNNNNNNACCCACCUUUGCUCUUGGGGAGACUCGAACUCACAACCUCUCGGUUGGAAGUGGGUGUUGCUUACCAUCAGAGAAUAGAGAAAGAAAAUGAAUAAAAAAGAAAAAAAAAAGUCAAAAAAAAAAGAAAGAAGAAAAGAAAAGAGUGAGAUGCAGGUAUUUGAAAUAUCAUGAAACUCUGUCGAACUUUUGAAAAAUAUAUUUUUUUUAAAAAGUCAAUUCAACAUAAGUCAUGUUCUUCUUAAUCCAUCAAAACUAGCAUAACAAUGCGGGUAUGAUUUUCAUCGGAUGUGAGAUACUUAGGCAAACCCCAUUGGUUCCGGCCCCCAAUUUUCAAAAAAUUCAAAAAAUUUCUUUUACUUCCUUCUUAAGAAAAGUUUUUCUUUGAGACCUCAUUUUUUUUCUAAAAAUUACAAGAAAAAAAUUUUUAGUUGCUUCUCAAAAUCAAAAAAUACAAAAAUGUUUUCAUUCUUCCAUGGAAAAUUGAAAAGAAAAUUCAAGAUUCAAAAAUACUUUCUUUUUCUUUAGAAGUAAUUCUUUCCUAACUUCAGAAUUAAAACUUAUAAAUGUAAAAAUAUUUUUCUUUCUUAUUUAGAAGUUUUUCUUUCAAAACUUUAAAAAAAAAGUCAAAAUUGAAAAAAAAAAUCUUUCAAAAAAUGCUGAAGAAAAAUCAAAAUCCAAAACUAUUCUUUUUCUUCUUUAUAAGUUUUUCUUUUGAAAAAAAAGGUGAAAAAAAGAGAAGAAAAUUCGAAAUCCAAAAAACAUAAAUUUAGUUUAUUUCCUUCAUUCCUAAUCUUCCCGAACUAUGCAAGAUCUAAUUCAUGCUGUCACAUGAUACGUAGGCAACCCACAUAUGGUUCGAUCACCAUUAAAAGAAAUGAAAAAAUGAAAAAAUGUUAAUAAUAAUAAGGACGACUGAGUUCAUUCUAGCAUGUUCUAUUUUGAAUUGUGAAGAAAGUUGAAGUGGUCAGUUUGUGGUAAGCUGGAAAAACAAUAUCCAAGGAAAAAUGAUAACUGGCAUCGAAACUGUUACAAGUGCUCAAGAGACUCAGGGUCAGAGUGUUCAACAAGAGUCUACUCUGUUUGACAAAAAUAGAAUACAAACAUCAAAUGACCGAAAUGUAUCAAGCAUGAGCAGUUGUCAAGGACAGACUCAUCAUGAAUCACAAUUUGCUACACAGCGAGAGCAGUACCACUCUCCUAAGUACCACUUGUACUCGUUUGAUCUUUCUGCAAACAUUGAGAAGCCCUCCCGAAAGAUGGCGCAGGAAGAAAUGACCCAAAGAGUGAAAAGCUUAGAAUAACGGUUGAAAAACAUGCAAGGGUUGGCAAGUCAAAAGAGUGUUGCCUUCAAAGACCUAUGUAGGUUCCCCGAUGUCCACUAGCCGUCUGGUUUCAAGACUCUCACAUUUGAAAAGUAUGAUGGACAUGGAGACCCCAUAGCCCACCUAAAAAGGUAUUGCAAUCAACUGAGAGUUGCGAGAAGAAAUGAAGAAUUGCUGAUGGCUUAUCUUGAGGAAAGCCUCACGGGAGUAGCCUCCGAAUGGUUUACGGAUCAAGACACAUCUCACUAGUAUGUUUGGAAUGACAUAGCACAUGCCUUUGUCAAACAGUUCCAAUACAAUAUUGACAUCACCCCAGACUGUAAUUCCCUUUUAAAAUUGAAGAAGAAACAAACUGAAGGUUUUAGGGAAUAUGCCAUUAAAUGGAGAGAACAAGUAGCUAGAGUUAAGCCACCCAUGGAUGACCAUGAGCUAAUCACUGUCUUUCUUCAGGCUCAAGAGCCAGAAUAUUUUAAAAAUAUGAUGUCCGCUAUAGGUAAAUCCUUCUCGGAAGCAAUCAAAAUGGGGUAAAUGGUUGAGAAUAGUCUUAAGAUAGGCAGAAUUAUAAGUCAAGCAGUUCUCAAAGCCACAACUCAGGUUUUCCAGAUUGAAUCCGAUAAUUUUGGUGACACGAAUGAGAAGGUUGAAGGAAUCAUGAUGACAUUAGGUCAAGAAGAGGUCCCAGGAAAAUAUCUAGAAGGUAUGAGCAACCUUCUUAGAUUUUCCAUGACUCCCCUGAGCAGUAUUAUCCACCUCAGAACCCUCAAUACUCUGUUGUUGCACCAUAGUAUGAUGCUCAGCCACCAAGACACCCUACAAGGCGAGCACGAGCACCGUAAAAUCUCCACCAACCUCCAUAAAAUUUUCAAUUGCCCUAUAACCCAUAUUUAUUUGUCAAACCCUUCCAUUCUUAUUCAAUAAAAUACAGUUUGUCCUUUUAUGUAUUUUAUUCCGAGUUCCUUUCUCUCUUGUUCUAAUGACAUGACAUGUAUGCAGAAAUUUUGGCCAGAUCCUAGAAACUAAAUUAAUCUGGAAUUGGAUAACUGAAAAAACACUUUAGAGGUUGAAUAAAGAGUUGAAAUACAUUGGCAUUAAGGUUAUAAUGACCCGACCGGUCGUUCUGAGUCCUAACACAUCGUUUAACAGUCUGAAGCCAUGAACAACUUUAUUUCAGGUAUUAUGACUUGUACGGAUGGUCGGAAUUGAAUUUCAGGAAGUUCAGGGUUGAUUUGGGAAGAGAAUUCUCAUUUCGGAAGCUUUAAGUUGAAAGAAUUGACUAAGAUUGGAUUUUUGAGUAAAGGACCUCGAAUCAGAAUUUGAAGGUUCCAACAAGUUCGUAUGAUGAUUUUGGAGCCAUUUGGCUAAAGAUAGAAAAUUGAAGCUUUUUGGAGACGUUUGACUGGAAGUGGACUUUUUGAUAUCGGGUUCAGAUUCAGAUUUUGGAAAUUGGAGUAGGUCCGUAACGUCAAAUAUGACUUAAGUGCAAAAUUUGAAGUCAAUCGGACGUGAUUUGAUAGGUUUAUGCAUCAAAAAUAGAAUUGUGAAGUUCUAAAGUUCAUAAAGCUUGAAUUGGAGGUCGAUUCAUGAUUUUAGCAUUGUUUGUUAUGAUUUGAGGCCUCAAGCAGGUCCAUCUUAUGUUAUGGAGUGGGUUUGGUGUGAUUGGACGGGGUCCCAGGGUCUCGGGUGUGUUUCGGGUUAUAUCGUGCUGUUAUUUGAUGUUUCAAUGUUAUUUAUUUGGAUAUAAAGGGUAUCGUAUUAAGGAAAUGAGCUCCAAAUUAAGUUUUUAUUGAACCAUUAAAUCCAUAUCGUAAUUAUAGAGCCAUAGCAAAAAGAAUCCUCGACAUUGGAUGUUGUAUGAGGGAUGCUCAUUUCCGCAUCGGGAACAAUUGCUAGUUGAUAUCAUAACCGCAGAUGCGGUCAUUUUAGGUUGCAUAUUUAUUUGUCAAACCCUUCCAUUCUUAUUCAAUAAAAUACAAUUUGUCCUUUUAUGUCAUUUUAUUCCAAGUUCCUUUCUCUCUUGUUUUAGUGACAUGACAUGUAUGCGGAAAUUUUGGCCAGAUCUUAGAAACUAAUUUAAUCUGGAAUUGGAUAGCUGAAAAAACACUUUUGAGGAUGAAUAAAGAGUUGAAAUACAUAGGAAUUAAGGUUAUAACAACCCGACCGGUCGUUCUGAGUCCUAGCACUUCGUUUAGCAGUCUGAGGCCAUGAACAACUUUAUUUCAGGUAUUAUGACUUGUACGGAUAGUCGAAAUUGAAUUUCAGGAAGUUCAGGGUUGAUUUGGGAAGAGAAUUCUCAUUUCGGAAGCUUUAAGUUGAAAGAAUUGACUAAGAUUGGAUUUUUGAGUAAAGGACCUCGAAUCAGAAUUUGAAGGUUCCAACAAGUUCGUAUGAUGAUUUUGGAGCCAUUUGGCUAAAGAUAGAAAAUUGAAGCUUUUUGGAGACGUUUGACUGGAAGUGGACUUUUUGAUAUCGGGUUCAGAUUCAGAUUUUGGAAAUUGGAGUAGGUCCGUAACGUCAAAUAUGACUUAAGUGCAAAAUUUGAAGUCAAUCGGACGUGAUUUGAUAGGUUUAUGCAUCAAAAAUAGAAUUGUGAAGUUCUAAAGUUCAUAAAGCUUGAAUUGGAGGUCGAUUCAUGAUUUUAGCAUUGUUUGUUAUGAUUUGAGGCCUCAAGCAGGUCCAUCUUAUGUUAUGGAGUGGGUUUGGUGUGAUUGGACGGGGUCCCAGGGUCUCGGGUGUGUUUCGGGUUAUAUCGUGCUGUUAUUUGAUGUUUCAAUGUUAUUUAUUUGGAUAUAAAGGGUAUCGUAUUAAGGAAAUGAGCUCCAAAUUAAGUUUUUAUUGAACCAUUAAAUCCAUAUCGUAAUUAUAGAGCCAUAGCAAAAAGAAUCCUCGACAUUGGAUGUUGUAUGAGGGAUGCUCAUUUCCGCAUCGGGAACAAUUGCUAGUUGAUAUCAUAACCGCAGAUGCGGUCAUUUUAGGUUGCAUAUUUAUUUGUCAAACCCUUCCAUUCUUAUUCAAUAAAAUACAAUUUGUCCUUUUAUGUCAUUUUAUUCCAAGUUCCUUUCUCUCUUGUUUUAGUGACAUGACAUGUAUGCGGAAAUUUUGGCCAGAUCUUAGAAACUAAUUUAAUCUGGAAUUGGAUAGCUGAAAAAACACUUUUGAGGAUGAAUAAAGAGUUGAAAUACAUAGGAAUUAAGGUUAUAACAACCCGACCGGUCGUUCUGAGUCCUAGCACUUCGUUUAGCAGUCUGAGGCCAUGAACAACUUUAUUUCAGGUAUUAUGACUUGUACGGAUAGUCGAAAUUGAAUUUCAGGAAGUUCAGGGUUGAUUUGGGAAGAGAAUUCUCAUUUCGGAAGCUUUAAGUUGAAAGAAUUGACUAGGAUUGGAUUUUUCAGUAAAGGACCUCCGAAUCAGAAUUUGAAGGUUCCGACAAGUUUGUAUGAUGAUUUUGGAGACAUUUGGCUAAAGAUAGAAAAGAAGGUUUUUGGAGAAGUUUGACUGGAAGUGGACUUUUUGAUAUCGUGUUCAGAUUCAAAUUUUGGAAGUUGGAGUAGGCCCCUAAUGUCAAAUAUGACUUAAGUGCAAAAUUUGAAGUCAAUCGGACGUGAUUUGAUAUGUUUAUGCAUCGAAAAUAGAAGUGUGAAGUUCUAUUGUUCAUAAUGCUUGAAUUUGAGGUCGAUUCAUGAUUUUAGCAUUGUUUGGUAUGAUUUGAGACCUCAAGCAGGUCCAUCUUAUGUUAUGGAGUGGGUUUGGUGUGAUUGGACGGGGUCCCGGAGUCUCGGGUGUGUUUCGGGUUGUAUCGUGCUCUUAUUUGAUGUUUCAAUGUCAUUUAUUUGGAUAUAAAGGGUACCGUAUUAAGGAAAUGAGCUCCAAAUUAAGUUUUUAUUGAACCAUUAAAUCUAUAUCGUAAUUAUAGAGCCAUAGCGAAAAGAAUCCUCGACUUUGGACAUUGUAUGAGGGAUGCUCAUUUCCGCGUCGGGAACAAUUGCUGGUUGAUGUCAUAACCGCAUAUGCGGUCAUUUUUACACAUAUACGGUCAGUUUUUCGUAGAUGCGGUCAUUUUUACGCAGAUGCGAGAAUGAAGAUGCAGUCAUUUUUUCGCAGAUGCAGAAAGUGCUGGAGGCAGUAGGGUUCUUUUAAAAAAUCGAAGUUUGUCUCAUUUUCACUUUACUUCUUCCACGGGAGCCGAUUUUGGAGAAUCUUUGGAGUGUCAUUUACAUCACCAAGCAUGAGGUAAGUAAUAUCUACUAGUUUUGAAUGUAUACAAGGUUUAUAUAGGGAUUUAGACAUGGAAAAUUGUAGAAAACUUAGGGUUUGAGUGAAAACUUAGAAAACUAGUAUUAUUGGAUUUUGACCACAAUUUUGGGUAUGGAAUUUAGAGAAAAUCAGAUAUUUGAGUUCUUGAGGCUAUGGGUAAACUUUAUCUUAGAGAAAUUUCGUAUUCCAGUCACAUAUGCCCGAGGGCAUUUUUGUCAACUUUUCAAUCAGGGUUAGGAAUUGUUAUCAAUUGGAUUAUAAUGAGUAUCUUAGCAUAUACUAACGGGUUUACAUAAUUAUUGGCUAGUUUUGGAGCGUUGUGCAUUGAUUCGAGUCCUUGGAAGGGCAUGAAAUGCCGGUUAUGAAUCUUCGGAGCGAGGUGAGUCUCCUUUCUAACCUUGUAAGAGGGAAUUGUUCCCAUAGGUGAGUUAAUUGGUUAUAUGCUCAUAUUUGUGGGGGAUACAUACGCACUAGGUGAUGAGAGUCCGUGUGUAGCUACUAUUACGCUAUUGUCCGGGUAGUUUAGGACCCAAAAGCAUGUAAUUUUUCUAUUAUUUGUGAACUUAUUGACAACUUGAAUUUCUUAAAUAACAUCAAAUUAGUAAAUGAAUUUCUAAACCUAUAAAACUUCAUAUUCUCUCAAAUGAUUAAAAGAGGAUAUUUUUUCCUUUGGUAAUUGUUCCGCGUGGACUUCUUGGUUAACUGUUUGUGUGUGUUUAUUUUUGGAACGGGCCAAACACCUCGGCAAAUUAAAUAGAUACAUCUAUGGUUCGCGUUGUUCGACCCUCUGCAGUGUACAAUUUAUUUUCUGUUGGAGUGGUCGCACGCCUCCGCAUGAUUUGGGCAUGCUUAUAUUGCUGCCUUUGAACUUAUUAGAGUUGUUACUGCCUCUUCAUGGCUUGAGAAUAUUUGGAUAAAUAAUAAAAAAGGAAAAUUUUGAAAUCUCCUAUAAAAGAAAUAAUUGUUUACUUGUUUCCUUAUAUUGGAUUAAAAAUCAUGAUUAUAGAAACCCAUGAUUUAAUGUAUUAUUGAUAUCACAUUACUGGACCUUUAGCAAAUGUCGAAGUCGACCUCUCGUUUCUACUUCUUCGAGAUUAGUGGGGAUACUUACCGAGUACCUAUUGUUUUUGUACUCAUACUACACUUUUGUGCAUUUUGUUGCAUAGGAACAUCUCUAGUGGCCUACUGAGCAUAGCAGCAUGGUUGAUACAGAGACUCGGGUGAGAUGCACUUCUCGAGGUGACCCGCAGCCAUCAGAGUCUCUUUCAAUUAUCUGUAUCUAUUUUCUGUCCACUAUUGUAUUCCGGACGGUUAUUGCAUUUUAUUAUCUUCUUAGUAAAUGCUCAUGCACUUAUGACACCGUAUUCUGGGAUGAUUAUUGGAUAUCUUGUAUUUACUUCUA